rnacentral:pre_miRNA from 1 species
AGUGAAAUUGCUGGAUCAUAUGGUUAGAGUAUGUUUACCUUUGUAAGAAAGUGCCAAACUGUUUUCCAAAGUGGCUGUACCAUUUUGCAUUCCCGCCAGCAAU